rnacentral:rRNA from 1 species
GAUGAACGCUGGCGGCGUGCCUAAUACAUGCAAGUCGAGCGAACGGACGAGAAGCUUGCUUCUCUGAUGUUAGCGGCGGACGGGUGAGUAACACGUGGAUAACCUACCUAUAAGACUGGGAUAACUUCGGGAAACCGGAGCUAAUACCGGAUAAUAUUUUGAACCGCAUGGUUCAAAAGUGAAAGACGGUCUUGCUGUCACUUAUAGAUGGAUCCGCGCUGCAUUAGCUAGUUGGUAAGGUAACGGCUUACCAAGGCAACGAUGCAUAGCCGACCUGAGAGGGUGAUCGGCCACACUGGAACUGAGACACGGUCCAGACUCCUACGGGAGGCAGCAGUAGGGAAUCUUCCGCAAUGGGCGAAAGCCUGACGAAGCAACGCCGCGUGAGUGAUGAAGGUCUUCGGAUCGUAAAACUCUGUUAUUAGGGAAGAACAUAUGUGUAAGUAACUGUGCACAUCUUGACGGUACCUAAUCAGAAAGCCACGGCUAACCACGUG